rnacentral:rRNA from 1 species
GACGAACGCUGGCGGCGUGCUUAACACAUGCAAGUCGAGCGGUAAGGCCCUUUCGGGGGUACACGAGCGGCGAACGGGUGUGUAACACGUGGGUGACCUGCCCUCAGCUCUGGGAUAAGCCUGGGAAACCGGGUCUAAUACUGGAUAUGACUCCAUGACGCAUGUUGUGGGGUGGAAAGCCUUGUGCGGCUGAGGAUGGGCCCGCGGCCUAUCAGCUUGUUGGUGGGGUGAGGCCUACCAAGGCGACGACGGGUAGCCGGCCUGAGAGGGCGACCGGCCACACUGGGACUGAGACACGGCCCAGACUCCUACGGGAGGCAGCAGUGGGGAAUCUUGCGCAAUGGGCGAAAGCCUGACGCAGCGACGCCGCGUGAGGGAUGACGGCCU